AUGGAGACAGAGUCUUGGGGAAGCCCUGCUGUGGCUGAGCUUGGCUUCUCAGGAAAAGGGCUGUUCUUUCUCUGGAGGUGGACAUACACAAGUUAUUCUUCAAAUAAUAUUUCUGUUGUAGUAUAUAAUGUUCUCUUUUUAAAAACGGAGGAGCAGCGUGUGAAGACUUCUCCUGGAGGAAGGGGUAGAUGAGAAUCAUUUGUUCCAGUGGCCAUGAAGGUGGUGGAAACAGGCACUGUGGAAUGCUUGGAGCAUGGUUAAUCAUUGAAGACACCGAGGACAUUCCAAUGAAUCCUGGGACAGCUCUAGUUUUUGUCUUGCCACUGGACUUCGAUGACUGAAAGAAAGAGUGAAAUCGAUGAUUUUGUGCACUUUUGCCUCACUUAAAUCCAGUUCGCCAGUGAUGACAAUGAUCUUCUUCAAAAACAAAGCUCAAACAAGAACAAAAUAAU
rnacentral:lncRNA from 1 species